rnacentral:lncRNA from 1 species
GGUGGUGCAUGGAGCGUUUAAGUUUUAAAUUCCAGAAUGACGGUAAUAGCAUUCAUGCCGCCUUCAUGACUUUGAUCUCAUGUAAGCUUCCUGACAACCGUUCGAGGCAGAUCCUAUUAUUAUCCCCAUGGAAGAUGGGGAAACUGAGGCCCGGGGAGAUGUAGUGCCUGGGUCAGGGCCACACGGCUCUUACGGAGCAAGGUCAGGACGGCUGGCUGUAGAGCCUGUGCCUUUGAUUUCCCUUUCAUUCAACCCCUCAGGUCCUUGAAGAGGGCACGCACUGCACAGCACAGGACUUCUCUUCCUGGGGCUGCCGUAACAAAAUGCCACAAGCAGAAGUGGCUUGCACAACAGAACUUGAUUCUCUCACAGCUCUGGAGGCUUAAAAGUCUGAAACCAAGGUCCUGGCAAGGUUGGUUCCUUCUGAAGCCUCUGAGGGAAGAUCCGUCUCACGCCUCCUCCCCUUGCUUCUGUUGUUGCCCUCCGUCCUCGACCCUCCUUGCCUCGUGAAAGCCUCUAGCCUCACACUUUGCCUGUGUCUCUUCUCUGUGUCCAUAUCUCCCACUAUUCAGAAAAAUAGCAGCCAUCGGGUUGAGGCCCACCCGAAUCAAGUAUGACCUCGUCUUAACUCGAUUUCAUCUGUUGAAGACCGUGUUUCCAAACAAGGUUACACUCAUGGCGACUGGAGGCUAGGACCUGAGCGUAUGUUUUUGUUGGGACACAAUGCAGCUUCCAGCCGUAUAUAAGUUAAUUCUUCAGCAGUACACAAGCUCUUGCCCUCUGCCACGCCUUGUCCUUUCUGAGGGGGGACGGCUGUCAUCGCUUCCUUACGCCAUCAUUGUAGGAAUUACCCAUGAACCACAGUGUCCAAGUUAUCCACCAGUUCUUGUAUCCCCCAGAACCUUCCAGGAUGUAUUGUGUAUGCUGAGUGCUCAGUGAAUAGCUCUUGAAUCUAAUGACCAAGGAAUCUGCCAUUGGUUGUAUUAAUUUUCCCUAACAUCCUUUUUUUGGGGAGGUGGGGGGCAAUUUUUUUCCCUUAAGCCCCAGAAAAACGUAGGCUUUUGUUUAGGAGAUGUUGGGAUUUUUUCUUAGAUGGGAGCUUCAAGCUUUACUUGCAUCUGUUUACAAACUGCUGAAACAAAGCUCUCGACUGCCUCAUAAUGUCUUUCUUAAUCCCAUUCUUUUUGGGUAAAAAUAGUAUUAAUAUAUGCAUUGUAAAUCGCUGGCAGCUCAGUUCGAAAUGUGUCUUUGUGCUCACUCUGUACUAUUAAGUAUUCCCCUGUGGUGUUGCUCAGGGUAAGGAAAGAUGACACUCUAUUUUUCUGACAUUUAAUGAAGCCUGGUGUUUUUUACAUGCAGUAUUUAAUUUUAAAAAGGUGAAGUACAGCUUAAUGAAAUGGGAACUUGUGAAUUCAAUGAUGGAAAAUGUGAAGGGCAGGAUACUUGGAUGCAUUCUAAAAGGAAAUGCCUUUUUCAAUAUAAAAGUGUGGCUUUUAAUCACUCGGUAGACAAGAUGCAGACACUUGAGUGGUCAGGAUCCCUUAGGCACAUUUCUGUGGCACUUAGGUGCAGUGAAGCAGCUAGACGUUGAGAGGAUCAUUCUCGGUCUCAUUGGAGGGCUUGCUGUGUGUCCGACUUGGUUCCCAUUGCUCAAUAUGGAUUGACCCAUUAAUCCCAGGACCCCCUCAUGGAGUAGACAGCCCUUUUUUAUAAAAUUGGGAUGCAAUUCACAUGACAUAAAAUGAACCAUUUUAUUUUAUUUCAUUUUUU